CUGAGCUCUGCAGGCCUCGUCGCAUUCCCUGAAUCUGAGCUGCGAAAAAACACGAGGCAGUAUCAAUGAAAGGCGAGCCCGCUGGCGAAAAGGCAGACCCGCCUAAGAGAUCCCGCGGCUCCAGUAGCUGGGAGGCCCGCACCGGAGCGAUUGGCCUCCAGGCCCCCGUAUGAGUCCUGCAGGGCUCCUUCCUUCCUGGCUCCUAUCCCGGGCCCGCCUCGGUUAUCCACCCGACCCGAGGCUCGGCAGAGUUACAAGGCCCAAAGCGAGGGGCCGCAGCUCAAGUCCAGGGCUAGAAAUUAAAACGGGGAGGGGCACAGGGCAUUGACUUUUAAUCCCAUUCCUUAGUUUGGCCAAAUUGAGGAAGGUAUUUCUCACCCCUUAGAGUCUUUCCGAGGUAAAUUUAAAGGCCUCGGCCUGGAUGUUAAUUGAAAAACAAAAACAAAAAGCUACUCCAAACCCGAAAAGAAAGAAGCGACUCCUAAAAACGGGGUAAUUAAAUUCACGUGUGAACACUGUGCUUGCAAGAGUGUGUUUCUCAUUAGCCCACUUCCCUGGCGGCGAGGGCGGGCGGGCGGCAUUGGUCGCUUCCAUCUUCUUUUUUGCCUUCAUCCUCCCCAACUGUUCUAGUAAUCCCCCAAACCCUGAUACACCCCUAUCCCAGGCGGGGACCCUCAAAUGCCAGGCUCUCCCCGAGAAUGAGGCUGCGAAGCCGCGCAGAGACCAACCGGGUACCCCUUCCUCGGCCCGCGCCGGAAGAGGGAAGUGGCCGACACAAUGAACUCCGACGUGGCCGGUCCUGGCCGCCUCGGCCCCCUCCUUCCUAAUAUUUUCCUUUCCCUGUAAAUUCCUCCGCCUUAUCCGCACCCUCACCGCAGCUCAGGGUGUCCCAAAUAUCGACCUCUUAGAUUUUCAUUAAGAAAAAUUAACCCUGGAGGAAACCUUCACUCCUAAUUGUAAUUGUCUGCCAACGGGCUGGAUACGCCUGCUUGCCGUUUCCUUUUUUUUUUUUUUUUUGUAGCCAGAGAAGACACCAGUGAUUAUUAGUAUUUUUUUAAAUUAAAAGGCUGGGUUUCUUUAAAUAGCCUUAGCGGCCCCAAGUAGGACACUUACUAAAUAAUUAGCAGGCAUCGAGAAUUAAGCAGUCUUUACUGAUGCCCAGAAAGGAGGGAAAUCACAAAACUAAAUGUUAUCCCUAUGUAGCCCACAGGUUUGGGGAGAGAAUAUUCAGGCUUUUGUGUCUGCUUUUAUUUUGGAAGUGAAAAGGAUUGUGUGUGCGUACAGAAACAAUAAAUGGGUGUGAUUACAAACUGCCUCUUCUAGCCUGAGAGUUCAAAAACCUUGGCCUCCAAAACAAAUCCAAUACUCAGGUCCUGAAAAUGGCAGGGAGGAAUUGAGGUGAAUGCCGUAUGCUGGCCUUUCAGAUAACAGGAGGGCAGGCUGAGCAGUGAAAAUAGUUCCUGGGCUGCUGGAGCUGAGAAGAGAAGCGCUGCUCCGUGGGCUUUAGCCCGAAGGCCCACGUGUGUGUUGGGGGAUAUGGAGGGGUAGAAGUUGUUUUCAGUUUCCUGUAGCGAGAAUGGUCCCUCUGGCUUCAAACCAUGGCCUACAACUUGGAACACGGACUCAAGUUUGUAUUCCAACGGUUCUGGAAUUCAGGAUUCCUUUCCCCUAUCAUUUGAAACAGACCGGCACUGGAAGGGUUCCCUUCUCUAGCAUCUGUCCCCACAAGGAUGCCAUAUCUAACAUACUCUGAACCUGACAGAAGUUACUGACAAGCAAGCAGCCAAUCUUUGCCCUAGCGGGGCUCCCUUAUCGCGGUUAAAGCCGGAGCCUGGACUCGCAGGCCGGGAGAGCCGAGGAAGCUUGCCGGGAGAGCCGAGGAAGCUUCCCGGCAGAGUUCCCUGCGUGACGCUCCACCGAGCCUGGCUAGGCCUCAGCCCAGGUCUCAACCUCAGCUCCCCAGUGAAGUUGGCGACAGGCCUCCUUGCCCUCGGAGUGGGCACACAGAAACGCCGCGAAUGCCCCUAAUCAGAUCUCCUAGGCUGCCGCCGAGUAGAAACGCCAGGCUGCCGCCAUCCGGUCGUGAUCGUAACCGAGGCCUUGUCUGUGCCGUGGCAUACCAGGCCCAGAUCCACAGCCUUCGACAGCCGCACCCCUCGAGCCCUUCCUCUGCAGAUUCCGACCUCUACUUGAACGCGCAUAGAAAAAUAAGACACCCCCCCUCCACCGCUCUCCCCAAGCAAGCCCUGGAUCUCUCCCGGUUCCCUCCCAAAGGAAUAGUUGGGGAGGAGAGGAGGUGGAGAUAGAAAACUGGACAUAGACCGAAGGUGAAAGAAAAACAAAGAAAAGGAAAGAAAAAAAGGAAGGAGUAAAGAAGAAAGAAAAAAGAGGAAGGAAGGAGGGAAGGAAAGAAGGAAGAGUCAAAGGCAGCUCUUGGGAGCAGAGGGCGGUUUACAGAGAGAAGGGUACCUGAGACGAUUUCAACUGAAGUAAUGAAGGCAGUGUCGUGCUGUCGAGAGAAAGGUGGAUCCCAACAACAGGAAACUACCUAAAUCACCGACCAGUUCUGGUGCUGCCCGCGCGGAGCUGCCUCGCCCGCCGCCGCCGCCGUUACUGCCGCCGCCGCCGCCAAAGGAGAACCCUGUGAUCGCGCCCGGCCCCUCGCCAACCUGCGCCCGCCGCUGUCACUGUGUGUUCAGGGCUGCCGCUAAGGCAUCACGGAUGGAGAAGCCACCGGCCCCGUUUUGCCAAUCAGCCAAAGUCAAGCCCUUUUGCCAACCUGCGUGUCCAUGCCUGCAAGCCCUUCUCUUUGCCAAGGAAGAAAGGAAGAAAGAAAAAAG